rnacentral:tRNA from 1 species
GCGCCUGUAGCUCAGCUGGAUAGAGCGUUGGCCUCCGGAGCCAAAGGCCGUGGGUUCGAAUCCCGCCAGGUGCG